rnacentral:misc_RNA from 1 species
GAUUGCUUGCUUUUACAUCCCACCCAUGUAGACCAACUAUAAUUAAUACUAAUAUCUUGCAAAAAUGAAACUAGAUAAUCCUAGGAAUUCUAGGACUCACUUUUGAAAGAGAAAUUUCUGGAAAGAAUCCCAACCCAACAAAGAUAUCCACUCCAUUUUCCUAAAAUCCUUGCUGUGUCGAGUCAUUUGCUCCUAUUUUGGAAGAUCUCUGCCAUGGUUCAAUUCAUAGCCGCACACAGCAAGCAACCUAUUUGCUAAUACCACUCACCAGAAACCUUGAACAAAAAAUCAGCUCAAUCUUGGUGCGUUGCCUGGUGUGCAUCUUCCAUUAACUUUGGAUAGCAAGAUCCUGGGGGCGACAUCACAAACUUCUUGAAAAGUGAUUGACAGUAUUCAUGAGACAGAAAGAAAAUGUCUGUUUUUCACUUUCCAACCACUUACCACAUUUCUUACAAUGGAAGAAAUUUUCCCUUCCUCCAUCUCUGUAAAAGCAAUCAUGAAGGAAAUGAACGAGUUCUGAGUGAUUGACUAAUUGGAAUAGUUAAAAGAUUCUGAAGAAAGCGAUCACAAGGCCAUGAAUGGAUUUCUAGAUUUGGUGAUAAAGAUAUCACAACUUACCAACAAAACUUUGUGACUAACAAUACAAAUAAAGAGGUAAUUCAGUAGUUUGGGAAAUUUAUUUAUUUCAUGAAUGAUUAGAGGAUAUUAGUAUGAUGAUUAUGUGAUUUAAUCAUAUAAGAUUACAAUGAAAAUGAACUGAGAGAAAGAUCAAAAGAUUUCAAGCAUCUCACCUGCAAAUUCCACAUUCAUCACAAUGGUAUUGAUUCUUUGAAACCUGAAAGCAGCAUUCUUUAUUAAAUUUGGACAAGUCAGAAUGAUAAUCACUGAGAAGCAAAGCACAAAUAUUACAUCAUCGUCAAAGAAUAUGCACUUGGCACAGAAAUACUUCCCCAUGCAAACUCCACAACUAACGCAAUUCUGCUUAACCUGAUUGAAUACAACACAAGAAUUUUAACUAAUUUGUCAAACGUCUUUGACUUGCAUCCGAUCGUAGUUUAAGUUAAAUAUACUUACAUCUUGUUCUUCCCCACAAAGGGAGCAAAUAACCUGAAAGACAAAUACAAUAGGACAGAAUUAGAAAGGGGCAAAAACACUAAGAAAAUGACACAAUACAUCCAUCAAGGAACAGUAUGACCUACCAAGGAUAGUAAAUCAAAAUCUUACGAACUGCCCCUUAAAAUUCCAAUUUGAACUAUCCAUUAUAAUCUCAUUGGACUACUUGUUAAACCCAUCAUAAUUGUGCCAUUAGAUAGACCUCCCAUUCAAAUUAAGAUUUAUUUUUUUUAAAAUGAUUAGCAGAUACAGAAAAAGAAAGAUCGAACCUUUAUCACUUCAUGGCUUGGAAUAUAGUGUUGAUCAUCAGGACUAGUUUCCACUGAAUUCUUAGCUUCAUUAUGGCAAUGCAUACAAUAAAAGUCCUCAUUGCAACAAGGUGCUCUAAUUUUGCAUCUCCUUCUAUAAUGUGAGCACCCAAAAUGCCCAGAUCCAAAUUCCAUGGCAUUCGCAAGUGCAUCUUCACUGUGAUUUGUUGGGAUCUCAAUUCUAGUGUCCAUUAUCUUUGAAGUUUGACCAUUCUGCUCCAUCUUCCUACUCAACUUUCUACAUUUGCUAAGAUCGGAUUGGGGCUUAAUUCUAGCCAUUUCUAUAUCUUGACAAUUUAUCUCCUCCAUUUUCCUCACUAACUUGGAAAUGAGCACACAUAACAGAAAGAUGAAAGGUAGAAGGGUCAUUUUAAUGGGAUUAUCUAAAUUUCGAAGAGCAUAUAUAUACUGCAUUGUUGAGUAAAUACACUGCCAGACUGCACUUGUAAAUCCGAAACAUUGAACAACCGUGAAAAGUUCACUACUUGGGGAAUUAUUUGUUGAGUGACCACAAAAGCAAAGGGAACGGCUCAAUCUUUCCAUUUUGAUAAGUCCUUCUCUUCGUGCUGAGUUAACCAGAUCAAUACUAGAAAGAAGUAAAGCCACAAAUGACAGGGCCAUGCCAGCUAAGAGAUAACCCAGUUGGUCUAGUACUGCUGAGACACCCUCUAGAAAUAAGCUCGCGAGUAGAAAAGCCCACUCUGCUGUUUCAGUUGUGGGUGAGCUGUCUCCAAUUUCUGAAUCAAGUUUAGCAUGAGCAUCUGCUGAGCUAACCAAACUUUGGUCCUGGUUCUUGCCAUUGUCAAAGUCCUGAACAGAAAUUAUUUGAAUAAUUUCUGGUUGUUGCUCUGAAAAUUGAAGAGGUGCCGAUGGUAUGCUUUCUUGUUUAUGAUCUUGCGUUUUAAAUGACCAUAGGCUUGUAUCUUUUACCACUUCUGCCCCCUUUUGUAUCUCUAUCUUCCUCUCCUCUACAAGUUUCUUCAAUCUUUUCUUCAUGGUCUCAGUUAAUGUAUUCACAUCAGUGGUUGCCUUGACAGUUACAGUUUCCUCCUCCUUGUUAAUUGUCACCUCCUGUACUCCUCUGAUUCUACCGAUAAUUUUGCGAAUCCUCCUGAUGCAUCCAUCACAGUGGAGAGGCACCUUAAAAACUGCCAUUAUUGCUGGAACCUAAAGGAAUAGAAAUUUAUAGAAAAACAAACAUAUAUUAAUCGUAAAGUGGAUUUGGGUUAAAGAAUAUGACUUCCACAUUUCACAAAAAUGAAAUAAGCUAUCUAGAUUGCAAGUAGAAUGAAAUGAAUGAAAUGAAGCUUGAGUUCUGAAACUUCAGACCAUUAAAAUUUUUUUUAAGGAAUUGUAAUUUGGAAGCACUAAAAGUAGAAAGCAAAUAACAAACAACACAUAUUCAGGUAAGCAAAACUGCAACAAAUAUCACUUGUAGAAAAAAAAGGAGAAAGAUGACUUCAUAUUGACUAUGCAAAAUUCAGAAUCCCUGAGGGAAAAAGGUCACUGUGAGAGUACUUUUACUGGUUUCAACUCCAUUAUGCUCCCUUCCAUUUCAGUAUCAUCACUCCCAUUCUCUUGUGCACUUUCUUUCUUCUUCUUUUUAUCAUCAUUGCCAUUCUCGCUUUCUUUAUCACUGCCAUUGCUGUAUUUCUCUUUGUUAACCGACAAGAUCUCAACAGGACCAUUCAAUCUCUCCUUCAGAUUCUCCAACAAAACCUUUGCAUCCAUGGUCCCUUUGACUGUUAUCAUUUCCUUCUCUUCAUCUGGUACCAUCUCUUGCACACCUUUAAUGAAUGCUGUUAAGAUUCACACAUCCAUCAACAAAAUGAAGGUGUUGAGAUACAAAAAAAUUACCAUUUGUGUCCCGGACUAUAUUUCGAAUCUUCGACCUACAUCCCUGGCAGUAAUGUCCCAGCUUGAGAACUACUACUAUUGUUGUCUCCAAAGCCUCUUUCGGUUGUUUCUUAUCAAUGUCCGGCUUUUCCUCAUUAGAUUUCUUGUCAUCUUUGUUCUUGUCAGAGGUGGUGCCAUUAUCACCUUUCUUGGGAUAAGAGGAGACUAUGUCGACUUUCUUCUUGAACUUGCGGCGAAGCUCUUCUUGAAUCUGCAAAGGAUCCACCUCACCUAAGACUGUCAACUGGUUCGAAUCUAUGUCUACCUUCACUUUCUUUACACCUUCGAGGCCUCGAGCAUAAACCUUAAUUUCUGAAGCGCAGGCCUCACAGUGCAUCCCAACGCCCAAAACAACAGUGGAGAAGAGAUACUUGGUCGCCUCCAUUAGUAUUCAACAAUCGAG